GGUCAUAUCGCCGCGGAGGUGAGGAGCGCCUCUGCCCAGCAGCCGCCCCAUCUGGGAAGUGAGGAGUGCCUCUGCCCGGCCGCCCCAUCUGGUAGGUGAGG
rnacentral:sRNA from 1 species